rnacentral:rRNA from 1 species
AGCGAACGCUGGCGGCGUGCCUAACACAUGCAAGUCGAGCGAACCGUUUAGGGAAACUUGAACGGUUAGCGGCGGACGGGUGAGUAACACGUGGGUAACCCACCUGGGGGACCGGGAUAACGGCUCGAAAGGGCCGCUAAUACCGGAUACGCUCCCUGAGGCACAAGCCUUGGGGAGGAAAGGUCGCGCAAGCAGCCACUCCCAGACGGGCCCGCGGCCCAUUAGCUAGUUGGCGGGGUAACGGCCCACCAAGGCGAUGAUGGGUAGCCGGUCUGGGAGGAUGACCGGCCACACGGGGACUGAGACACGGCCCCGACUCCUACGGGAGGCAGAAGUGGGGAAUCUGCCGCAAUGGGCGAAAGCCUGACGGAGCGACGCCGCGUGGGGGACGAAGGCCUUCGGGUCGUAAACCCCUGUCAGAGGGAAGGAAGGGUACCGGCGUGAACAGCGCCGGUAUUUGACGGUACCCUCAGAGGAAGCCACGGCCAACUCCGUGCCAGCCGCCGCGGUAAUAC